CGGCGAUGUGUCGUGAGUGAUACACUACAAAUGUACUGCAAUAUAACGUGUAGACACACUAUGUAAAGUCACGACGUGCGAACGUUUUUUAUACAAUGUGUGAUAUGAACAUAUGACGUACCUACGACGACCUACCUACGACGAUAUUCAAAAUAAUCAUAUUUUUUUGGAAUCAAAUUAUAUUAUCAGGUCGCAGUGAUAUUUCAGCGAUCGGCCACGGUCGAUAUUAUUUUUUCGCUACAUUAUAUACCUGUCGAAAACAUUUGGACCAUUUGAGUUUCGAAUACGGUUCAGAGUAGACAUUCGAGUGUAGCCUGUAGUGAUAGUUCCUUACUCGCCAUUUACACGGUUUUUCAACAGUUGUCAUCGCAGUUUUCGCCACUUUCAAGGUUCGUAUGUACGCAUCACGACGUCUA